ACGCUCGACACCUACGGGGGGCAGCAGUGGGGAAUAUUGCACAAUGGGGGAAACCCUGAUGCAGCGAUGCCGCGUGAAGGAAGAAGUAUCUCGGUAUGUAAACUUCUAUCAGCAGGGAAGAAAAUGACGGUACCUGACUAAGAAGCCCCGGCUAACUACGUGCCAGCAGCCGCGGUAAUCUGAGCGGGNUGGCAAGGC
rnacentral:rRNA from 1 species